rnacentral:misc_RNA from 1 species
ACUAUUGAAGAAGCACAAAAAAUCUCUCCAAGAUCCUCGUCAAGGUCGCAGAAGAAAGACGAAAUUGAUCUUUGUGUCGACAAUGAGCUAGGGUUUGCGAAGGACCGAACCAUCAGUAGAUUGACAGAGAUGAACAGUCGAGAGUACUUGGAGCAACACGAAGCUAACAUGCAGGAGAAACUCCAUAAGGAUGUCGAGGAGAACAGAGAUGUAAAAGGAAGAUGUCAUUUGACAGAGGAGAACCGAGUUGUCAAAGCAUGAUGAUCUCUGUGUUAUUAAAUUAUUACCUAGACCACCCCAGCAUCUCAUGAGAAUGCAAUGUAGAUAAUGUUGUAUGAGUUUCAGUGUUCAUCCAAUUCAUUCAUAUGGGGUGGGAGAAUAAGGUGAAAGAAAUAAA